GGAGAGAUGGCUUAGUGGUUUAAGAGCACUGGCUGCUCUUCCAGAUAGACCUGGGUUCACAACUCUCUGUCGCUCUA
rnacentral:tRNA from 1 species